AGUAGUCAAUUAUCAAAGCUCCCCAAGAUCAUCAAUCAUGUGAGGAGAUUGAAGUUUAGAGGAGGAGCAACUCCGGCCAUCGAUUGCAGCGAAGCCCUUUUUGGAGCCUGAGCACUUUUACGCACAAAACAGAAGCAGGCCAUCUAUCCCCUUUAAUAUUUAGCUCCAUCAAUGCUAAUAUGGCAUCGUGGCUGUAUUGGCAGAUACUCACAUAAAGGCUCCAUUUAUGGCUCCGUGACAUUUUUGAUGGUGGAAAUUAAUUAUUCACAGGUUAGGAUUAAGGUAGACACGCUCAGGGAGAUGGGCUGUGGCUACCGUUGGAGGGUCAAUAAACUCUCCCAACAAACAAAAUACCAAGCAGAGUUGCUCAGGGUCGAUUACAGAAAUAGCAGUUGUUUUUUUUUUUUUAAAAAGGGAAAAGAUUUAAUAAAUGAAACCGUGACAACAGUUAUGUUUGUUGGCAUAAAGGGGGGUGGGAAGUGUAGGACUGCAGGCUUUGACAAACGGCUGUGUGGACAUUUCAACGUGCAAUACCCCGGGAAGGAGCUGCAGAGCGGUGCGCAGAGAGCCAAGGCAUUCACCGUCUCCAAGUCUCUCUUACACUCUGUAAACACAACCAGCCCGGCAGACUCUGCUAUUGAAGACUGAUAUUUUCAUAAGCUAAAUACUAUCGUUCACGUUGAUUUGUGCACUAACGCUUGACUUUUUUUCCCCAUCUUCCUCUUUUGGACAACCACGAAAGCAUUACCUCACUCAUCUGAAUCUGAACUCUUUUUGACCCCGGAGUGAAAUGUGACUAGGAUUUCAGAAAGUGGAGUGAACAACUCAAAUACUUGUAAAAGUUUCGCGACUAACUGUAAAUUCUUCAGCUCCAAAGCCUCAUUUUCCCCUCCACCGAUUCUCAGAGUCUGGUGUCAGAGGGUUAGUAAAGGGAGGAGGGAGGGAGAGAGACAAAAUGUAACUGUGGCUUUUCCCUUCAUAGACUCAUUAGAAAAUCUGCGGCCAUGUAGCGACACCUGGCGGCCGCAGCGGAUGCCGAGCUGUCGAAAGCUUUGCAAUAAAUGAGAGAAGGCCCGCAAAAUAAACCAAACAAUGAUUGACUCAGUUUACACAAAUCUCUCCACAAAUGUCACCAAGAUCAGUGUUUUAAAAUUAAUAUGAAAGGGAUUGCAAUCAAAUUAGUAAUUUCUCACAACACAGAAACGUAGCCUAAAUCUAAAAUAUGAAUAUUAUAAAAUGCAGAUUUUGUGUCAGUGAGCUUGUCUAAAUGGAGCGUCCCAUGCAUUUGUUUCUUAUAAUGUUUUAUUUGUUCGCUGCCAGUGCUUUGACCAUAAAUUCGGUUGAACUGUUUACACCCUUCACAGCUGAUGCUGUUACAAGAUUGUGACUUGUGCCGAACAAAAUAGAAAAAUGUGGGCUUUAUUAGUCGCAGUUUGUCUUUAAUUUCGUGUGCAAGAAUUAUUUUGAUUUUGUAAAUUUAUGUGGGUUUAAAAUGUAUUUGAAAUGUAAAUCGGCAUUCGUAUAAAUCCAAAUCAGUUAGAUAAAAAUAUUUAAUAUGUAGCCUUAUAGGGUAUAUAACCCCAAAACACACUGAUGCUUAUAUGAUUAUUUUAAUAUUAAUAUAAUCCGGACGACUUUUAUUAUGUGCUUUUAUACGCGUUGUUGCAUGUUAAAAUAAAAAAAAUGAACAAAUGAAUCAGUAAGAGUUCAACUAUCGCUCAAGCGAAGCCUAAAAAUGUAAAAGAAAAAUAACAUUCAAUGGAUUCAUAUUGUGAUUUGGAAAACAGCGCGACGAAGUAAUCAACAUUAUUAUAAUAAAAUAUAAAUGUUGGAAAAUAACUUAUUUAAAAUUCUUCUUUAUGUCGAUUAAAUUCUUUCAGAUGUAAAAGUAUAUUGCCCCCCCCCCCCCCCAAAACGAAUUUCAAAGCUAUAAGUGAAUUUUUCUAACAUGUGCACAAAAUAAAAACUUCCUGGUCAAACUACAACUCUCGGCCAUGUCUGCAGCCUCUCUGCAGCCUCUCAGCUCUGCUCGGCUGAGACACAGUUGGAGCAGGUCACCGCCGAGAUUAGAGCCCGUCGUUAACGCCUGUGCGGAUACACCAAAUGCUGAUUUAAUGAGCUUGCAUUGGGUGUUGUCCCAGAAUACCUGGUGUGCAUGUGUUAGUAACGCCACAGACUAUAAUCCCUGUGUUUCCUCCUUAACACGUGGCUUUAGGGACAUCCUAUAGCCUCCAUUCACAAAGGUGCUUGUGGAGAUUUUAGUAUGAUUUCUUUUUUUGUUUUAUUCCAGUUAGAUUGAGCAGGUCGAAGCCUAUAAGGCCCGUAUCCAGCCACAUUACCAGAUGUAAUUGAGAGAAGUUUAAGUGGAGGCCGGGAAACCGAGGAGUUAAUAGCGGUGACCCUCUUGCUGUGCCUCUGUCGCUCAUCAUUUAUCAGGCUUAAGGGGCUUAAACAGGCAGCACAGACCCACCUUUUAUUACAUAUCAAACCCUCUCUCCCUUAUCUACAUUAUAGGGAAUCCAUGCAUCGUUGCCUGUUAUGCGGAUUUGGAAAUAGAAACAUGUCCAAUAAAGUCGACCUCCUCCGCUGAUCAGAGGAAAUAUGGCUUUAGGCGCUGCAGAGACAACCCCAGCGGUUUAAGCCUUUAUUAAAUUGUCUUAAUUCCCCUCUACACUUUGAAAUGAAUACAAAUUCCACUCUUGUGUUGUUUGUCCAGUGCGGAAGCGGGGGAAUGUAAGUGCGGAUGUUUUCACGGUUCCCAAUAUGAUUAGAAAGGGAAUAAAAUAGCACCGAGUUAAAGCACGCUGCCUCCAAACUGCAAAACUUGUCCAGAACCGAAAUAAUGCAUGAAGCGUUAAAACUCGGGAGCAUGAGAGACAUUCAACAAGGCUGUAAAGAAAAUACAUUUGCAUCUCUUAUCUCAACUCACGCCGAAGAUAUCAGGCAAAACUACCUGCACACAUCGAAGCUGCUUUAGUCAUAAAAUUAAGUAAAAGGUGAGAAAAAGAGACAAGACUUCGGUGUGAAAAGCUGGGAUAUAUUUAGCCUGUCUUGUGUGUCAUUCUCUUUUAUUUAUAGCCUUAAUGAAUUGCAUGUCCUUUAUAGGGAGGCAAUUAAAGCAGCUGCUUACUCUUAACUCUGUGCAAAUGUAACCUAAAAGUUUAGUUUUGUGAUUUAAAUUAAAAAUCUUUAUAUUGUAUAUUUGGCUACAGGAGAGGGAUAUUGUUUGUUUUUUUGUUUUUUUAAAUAAAUGCAGCCACAGUGUUUCAGUUAAACUUCAGGGCCAAGCCUAAGUUGUCUGCUGGUUUCCUCCAAGGAGAGCUCAGUCAGUCAGCCUGAACGCAGCUGCAGUCACAUGGAGUGAUGGGUUUUGAUAUUCUAGUCACACAACAGAGUAAACACUGCUCUCCUAUUCAAUAAACAUCAUUGACAAGGUUCCAUACAGCUAUUUGAAAUACUGGGCUUAACCCCAUUGAGAAACACCAUUUUGUUAUUUGUAAAUGAAAAAAAAAAUCACAGUUAAAUUCCUUUCCUUAUCUUUUAGUCUGUAUCAUGUACCCAUUGUAACAAAUUAUACUUUGUUCUCUGAAAUUGUAUUGUACAUUUUGUAACUUCCAUGAUUUCCUGGUGCCAUUAAAAUAUUUUUAAACUGUA